GUUUCUCUGUGGUGUUGAUAAGGGGACAGGGAUGGGUGUGGGGGUUAUAACAGUCGCACCUCACACCUUAACCUGUCAACUAUAUCAGCAUUUACAUAUA